GGAUACCCGCUGAACUUAAGCAUAU
rnacentral:rRNA from 2 species